AUCUUGUAUGGAGCCUCAGGCCCCAGAAGGCAGGGCUGCAAAUGACACAGUGAGCUGCAGGCAGCAGUGCUCUGCGAACGGCACUCAAACCCAGAGAGAAACGGGAGCCUCGACCUGCAUCUGAAAAUCAGCGAGAAGGAACCGAAGUCCUGUGAAAUGGUGCAGCCCUCCCUUCAGCGACGACUCAUUCUGCUCAAACCUGUCACCACUCACACAGCAGUGGUCGUUGGAAGAAGGGACUUCUCAGAGAGAGAAAAAAGGAAAAGCCACCCAGGCUUGCAAAGUGGUAGCUUCUUGCCGUCGACUUCCUGCUGGUGCCAAGUCAGAGGGAGCUCCGUGUGUCCUCAGUUCACCCUCGCCAGGCCACGCUGCAUGCAAAUAAGAAGCUGUUUCAGUGUCUGCCCAUCUGAGACGCUGACAUAAAAAAGGAAGGAAGAAAGGAAAAAAACCACCGUCACCACCAACAAAAAAACCCAAGACUGAUUAAUUCUUGUAGAUUGCAGCAAAGCAGUGGGCCUGGUGGUGACACAUCCUGUUUUGCUGUUUCAAUUAUCAUCCCCCGAGCCAAUAAGCUCCCUCAUGAACGGCACCAGUUAUGAGGGGUGACAAAGAAUUCAAAACACUUACAGGACAAUUUUCCUAACCCUUGGUCUCUCAGAAUGCUAUUUUUUAGGCUAAUUUGUUUUGAUGAGAAAACUAUGCCUGCUAGGCCUAUUUUUAAGCCAGAUUUGAAGUCAACGCAGUUGGUAUUUGAUCUUGCAAGAGCUACAGAGGUGUCAGCAGCAGCUUUGCCAUUUAAGAGCUGUAGCCUGGUGGGACACCGUCCUGCCACCAGGGCCCCAGCACAAGAAGUUUCUCUGUUGUUAUUCGCUUCUCUUCUUUGAUACCCGUAUUUGAGUUGAAAUAUCACCACUUGAGCAGCACCUGGUGAUUACAUAACCAUUCAACUCUGUGUUUUAUCUGAGGGUUAGGUAAGAAAUUAAAAAUCCAGCCAGAAAUAAUUAGUUUAGCUGCAGACAGGGUAUAUUAAACAGACUCAAUUUAAUAGAGCUAGAACCAUAAGAUGAAUGUAUUUAUCUUCAAUCAAAGAUGACGUUUUGGACAGAUUCUUUCAUUCAUCACUUUUCUGUUAUGUUUAGCCCUAAAGAAAGUCUUUUUUAGAUACGUAAGAUGCACUUUCAGGGUUAAAUCAUCUAGUCCAGUCUGAAUAAAACAUCAAAAGCACCUACA
rnacentral:lncRNA from 1 species